rnacentral:rRNA from 1 species
GACGAACGCUGGCGGCGUGCUUAACACAUGCAAGUCGAACGAUGAAAGAGAAUCCGAUCUCUUCGGAGUGAAGAAUCUCUGGAUUAGUGGCGGACGGGUGAGUAACGCGUGAGCAAUCUGCCUUACACAAAGGGAUAGCCUCGGGAAACCGGGAUUAAUACCAUAUGAUAUCUAUUAACCGCAUGGUCUAUAGAUUAAAGAAUUUCGGUGUAAGAUGAGCUCGCGUCCCAUUAAUUAGUUGGUGAGGGUAACGGCCCACCAAGAUAGCGAUGGGUAGCCGAUCUAAGAGGAUGACCGGCCACAUCGGAACUGAGAAACGGUCCAAACUCCUACGGGAGGCAGCAGUGGGGAAUAUUGCACAAUGGGGGAGACCCUGAUGCAGCGACGCCGCGUGAGCGAUGAAGGCUUUCGAGUCGUAAAGCUCUGUCCUAUGGGAAGAUAAUGACGGUACCAUAGAAGAAAGCCCCGGCUAAUUACGUG